CAACAUGCUGAGUAUAUCAUAUCAACAUGCUGAAUGAGUGAAAUCAACAUGCAGAGUAGGUGAUAUCAACAUGCUGAGUGAGUGAUAUCAACAUGCUGAGUAUAUCAUAUCAACAUACAGAGUAGGUGAUAUCAACAUGCUGAGUAUAUCAUAUCAACAUGCAGAGGUGAUAUUAACAUGCAAAGUGAUAUCAACAUGCUGAGGAGGUGAAAUCAACAUGCAGAGUAGGUGAUAUCAACAUGCAGAGUAGGUGAUAUCAACAUGCUGAGUAUAUCAUAUCAACAUGCUGAGUAGGUGAUAUCAACAUGCUGAGUAAGUGAUAUCAACAUGCUGAGUGAGUGAUAU